GGGGACGUUACGGAUUCGACAGGGGUAGAUCGAGCUCAGGUUGCGCGUCGAGGUUACGUCUCGUUAAACGUUAACGCCAAUAAUAACUGGCAAAGAAAACAAUUACUCUUUAGCAGCUGCGUAAGCACUGUCUAAAGGAUCCUUCCUAUCAUCGCCCAUGUGGUAGAUUGAAGGGUCUCACUUAUCAGUGGGCUACGCUAUCAUCCACCGUCUGAGGAUAGAUAGAAGAGACCAAUCAGACUAGCUACUAGGACGCCUGUUGGUAGGCAAAAUAGUUAGCGAAUUUAAAUUUACCAACUACACGUGUAGAAGCCUGAGUGGCGAUAUCCUUGGACGUGGGUUCGACUCCCACCGUCUCCACCA
rnacentral:tmRNA from 1 species